AUUGGACGCUGGCGGCAGGCUUAACACAUGCAAGUCGAGCGGAGAUGAGGUGCUUGCACCUUAUCUUAGCGGCGGACGGGUGAGUAAUGCUUAGGAAUCUGCCUAUUAGUGGGGGACAACAUUCCGAAAGGAAUGCUAAUACCGCAUACGUCCUACGGGAGAAAGCAGGGGAUCUUCGGACCUUGCGCUAAUAGAUGAGCCUAAGUCGGAUUAGCUAGUUGGUGGGGUAAAGGCCUACCAAGGCGACGAUCUGUAGCGGGUCUGAGAGGAUGAUCCGCCACACUGGGACUGAGACACGGCCCAGACUCCUACGGGAGGCAGCAGUGGGGAAUAUUGGACAAUGGGGGGAACCCUGAUCCAGCCAUGCCGCGUGUGUGAAGAAGGCCUUAUGGUUGUAAAGCACUUUAAGCGAGGAGGAGGCUACUGAGACUAAUACUCUUGGAAAGUGGACGCUACUCGCAGAAUAAGCACCGGCUAACUCUGUGCCAGCCGCCGCGGUAAGAC
rnacentral:rRNA from 1 species